AACGAACGCUGGCGGCGUGUUUAAGACAUGCAAGUCGCACGGUGUCAUUUUGGUAGCAAUACUUGGAUGGCACAGUGGCGCACGGGUGAGUAACACGUGAAUGACAUGCCCUUCAGAGGGGGAUAGCCCAGGGAAACUUGGAUUAAUACCCCAUGGAUUCGCAAGCGUAAAGGUGGCCGCUAGGCCGUCGCUGGCGGGUUGGUUCGCGUUCUCUCAGAUUGUUGGCGGGGUAACGGCCCACCAAGGGUACGACGGAUACCUGGGCUGAGAGGAGGAUCAGGCACACUGGAACUGAGACACGGUGCAGACACCUACGGGUGGGAGCAGUUGAGAAUAAUUCACGAUGGGGGCAACCCUGAUGGUGCAACGCCGCGUGGAGGAGGAAGGUCUUCGGAUUGUAAACUCCUGUCAUCCGGGAGCAAGACAUGACGGUGAAUAGCCAGCAGGGUUGAUAGUACCGGAAGAGGAAGGGACGGCUAACUUCGUGCCAGCAGCCGCCGUAACAC
rnacentral:rRNA from 1 species